rnacentral:rRNA from 1 species
GUCCACGCAGUAAACGAUGAUUACUAGCUGUUUGCGAUAUACAGUAAGCGGCUGAGCGAAAGCGUUAAGUAAUCCACCUGGGGAGUACGUUCGCAAGAAUGAAACUCAAAGGAAUUGACGGGGCCCGCACAAGCGGAGGAACAUGUGGUUUAAUUCGAUGAUACGCGAGGAACCUUACCCGGGUUGAAAUGCAUCUGACAGGAGCAGAGACGCUCUCUCCCUUCGGGGGCAGAUGUGUAGGUGCUGCAUGGUUGUCGU